CAGGUAGGACUACCGGC
rnacentral:rRNA from 1 species